rnacentral:rRNA from 1 species
GACGAACGCUGGCGGCGUGCCUAAUACAUGCAAGUAGAACGCACAGGAUGCACCGUAGUUUACUACACCGUAUUCUGUGAGUUGCGAACGGGUGAGUAACGCGUAGGUAACCUGCCUGGUAGCGGGGGAUAACUAUUGGAAACGAUAGCUAAUACCGCAUAAGAACAUUUACUGCAUGGUAGAUGUUUAAAAGGUGCAAGAGCAUCACUACCAGAUGGACCUGCGUUGUAUUAGCUAGUUGGUGAGGUAACGGCUCACCAAGGCAACGAUACAUAGCCGACCUGAGAGGGUGAUCGGCCACACUGGGACUGAGACACGGCCCAGACUCCUACGGGAGGCAGCAGUAGGGAAUCUUCGGCAAUGGGGGGAACCCUGACCGAGCAACGCCGCGUGAGUGAAGAAGGUUUUCGGAUCGUAAAGCUCUGUUGUUAAGGAAGAACGUGUGUGAGAGUGGAAAGUUCACACAGGACGACUAACCA